rnacentral:lncRNA from 1 species
CUGAAUAUCUUAUCCUUGGAGGAGCUUCUAGGAUUACUGAUGACUUACGAGCUAAGUAUGUAACAACACCAAGAAGAAAAUGUCAAAAAGAAGAGGAUAAUCAUCCUCAAAUCCACUGCUCAACCUGAUGAAAAAUUCGAUGAUACAGAAAAUGAAGAGCAAGUGAAGAAAUGACCCUCAUUACUAGAAGGUUUAAGAAGUUCUUGAAGAAAAGAAGACAA